rfam:Lepisosteus oculatus linkage group LG2, whole genome shotgun sequence.
GCCAGCAGCCAUAUCACCCUGCCACUCACAACUGGCAACCCACUGAAGCUAAGCAGGUAUGAGCCUGGUCACUACCUGGAUGGGAGACCUCCUGGGAAAAACUAAGGCUGCUGCUGGUA